GGACGAAUGAAUGGAUGAGUGAAUGGUGGUCCUGACCUCCAUGUAUCCUCUCCUUCUAGGGCGCAGGACCAUUGUUACCAAAACUUUCACCAUCUCAGGAACCUGGGUGGUGCUUCUCAUCUUGAUGACAGUCCUGGGAGGUGGCUUCUUCUGUAUCAUCCUGAUCCAUACCCUGAUCAAACAUUACUCCACCAGGUCACAUUGGGGUACAUGACCUCAGACCUGGAGGACAAGACCAGAUGGGAAAAGAGGCAGGGGACUCAGAGGACCACGACCUCACUUGUGUCACUAGUAUCUAGCACAGGGCCAACCUGGCACAAGAAGACCUCAGGAAAUGAUCAUUCCACAAAGGAACCAAUAAGCCAGUGACAACCAUCACUGGCUCGUGAUGACCCUUGAUGGUGACUUCAUGGAGGCCAUCUCAUCUUAAAUUAGGCAUCAUGGCUCCCCUGUCAUGAAGAAAACAUAGCCUCCACAGAGUCUGUCUUGUCCUUCUUGUCAUCACUCACUAAGGUCCACACCCCUUGGGCUGUGCACCUCUCAGUCUCGGGAUCCCUGAGGCUCUGGUCCCUUCAUUGUGAGGAAUUUUGAGCCCCGGUUUUGGGGGGAAUCUGGGUUUGGGGACCCUGACUCUCAGUUUCUUAGCCCCCAGGAUCUCCGGUCUCCUGCGUCUCAGAGAUCUGAGUCUUGUGACUCCCUUGGCCUCUAAAUUUCAGUUUCAGGAGUCUCCGAGGUCCUUGGUCUUUGGUAGAGGGAUGAAGUCUCUAGGUUCCCGGGCUUUGGUGGGGGAGACCUGUCUCUGGAGUCCUGGUUCUCUUGGCUGCUGGAAGUGUCAGGGGUCUGGAUCUCUGGGUUUCUGGAACUCGGAGUCUCCACGACCCUGGGCCUAGGCACUAGUGGGUUUCAGGGACCUGAGCCUUUGGAACCCCCCGGUCUCAGAAGUUGGAGCCUCUAGGGCUGAGGCAAGCGCAGAGAUCUCAGCUCAAACACUGCUCCCUUUCUCCAUUCGACACGCUCGCGCGCACCAUUACUACCCAUUCAAUGUACGCGUAGAUCCACUGCAAAUACCGCUUUCCUCAGUUUCUGCCCCGCGCAUGCGCUGUCCCCUCCUUUUACACCCGCGACCAAGCCCCGCACUCCCAACUUCAAUUCCUACCCGCAACCCCAUCUCAAAGGAUAAAAAUAAUAUGCUCUACAAUGCCUCUAAAAGCCUAUAACAAUCCCAUAAAAGCAGAUAAUCCGAAUGCAGCCACUUAGCCUUUCAAGCGUCCUGUACAGUGACAGCUCGUUGCCUCCAAGGACACGCAGCAUAGCGCCAUCCCAGGCCCGUGCGCAGGCGCAGAAAGGAAACA
rnacentral:lncRNA from 1 species